GCUCGACCAGUUCUAAAUAUACCGUCCUUGACAGACGUGAAAUAAGUCCACUGAUUGAAAUAGCUGCCUAGUUCCCAGUUUGAGAUCUUACUGUAUAACAUCAGCGCUUGGCUGCCCCUCUGGUAAACUUGGAGAAGAACCGAUUUCCAUUUUGCUCCUUUUGAAAUGAAAGGCGUUUGAGGAUUGUCAUUCAGCAGGAAUGUACCAAUUCUAAGAACUUCUAAACAAGGCUCGCUUCAUAAUGAAUGGCAGCGGGAGCCUGGAUUUAUGCUCAGCGCAGGCCUGAGGGAUAAUGGCAGAUGACUCAUGGACCAGACACCAGUGACAACGCAUUACUCCGUGUCUGUUGGCCAAGUGCUACUGACUGAAAUCACUGGCUCUACCUCAAUUCACUGCAGCAAAGUGUCUGGUCUUGCUUGGAUUUGCUUGAGAAAUGACCUUUAUUUUUCUUAUCCGCAUUCUCACCUUAUGCAGUCUCCAUGUGUGUGCCAAAGUCACCUCCCCUGCAAGGGUGGACAGAUUUAGAGAUGCUCAAAAUGGCACAGUGAGGGUGUGUGGUUUGCUCUCCUGCUUUUGCUUAACUGGCCAGCAAGUGAACUGGGAGUAAGCAGGUCAGCUCAGGAACAAAGAAGAAGGACCUGAAGAGAUCAAAGUAACAGUAAGUGUCACAAAAAUUAUUUUUCUUAACAUGUAAAAACAGCAAAUGCCCCAUUUUGUAACCUGGAAGAAGUGGACUUCAGGCUGUGUUCCUCCAGACACAAACAGGCAUCCUUUGGAGGUUCACAGACAUCUCUUAUCUCCAUAAAACUCCUAGAGAGCAUCCAGAGGAGGGCUAAGAAGAUGGUGAAGGUUCUGGAGGAUUCUUUCCAACUCAAGGUAUUCUGUGAUCCUAAAAGAGGGGCAGCAGCCAGCAAGGAUGGAAUCAUCACAAAGGGGAGAAAUUGCACUUAAUGGGAGGCAGCCAGGGUGCUUGGUGCACUUAUCACACUUGCCUGCAUCAUACUGCUUUCUCCUCUGCCUCUGCUUUUCCACAUGAGGACUCUGCUACGUGAAGGCCAAGGUUUACACAAACAAAGCUAUGCUUUACCGUGCAGUGUCGUGGUUCACCUUUCCACUUACACAG
ensembl:lncRNA